UACAGAGGGUGCUAGCGUUGUUCGGAAUCAUUGGGCGUAAAGGGCGUGUAGGCGGUUUGUUAAGUCAUGUGUGAAAUCCCUCGGCUCAACCGGGGAACGACGCAUGAAACUGGCAAGCUAGAGUACCAAAGAGGGGGGUGGAAUUCCCGGUGUAGCGGUGAAAUGCGUAGAUAUCAGGAGGAACACCGGUGGCGAAGGCGGGAUCCUGGGCCAGUACUGACGCUGAGGAGCGAAAGCGUGGGGAGCAAACAGG
rnacentral:rRNA from 1 species